AAAACAUGUCCUUUAGAAUUUAUUAUAAUUAAAGGUCUAAUCUGCCCGGUGAUUACUUAAACGGCCGCAGUAUUUUGACUGUGCGAAGGUAGCAUAAUCAUUUGUCUUUUAAUUGGAGGCUAGUAUGAAUGAUUGGACGAGGGAUUAACUUUCUUUAUUUAAGUUUAAUGAAUUUGAUUUUUUAGUUAAAAAGCUUAACUAUUUUUGCAAGACGAGAAGACCCUAUAGAAUUUUAUUUGUAUGUUAAAAUUUAUUAUUUGGUUAAUAUAGUUAUUAUUUUUUAAUUUAUGAAUUUUGUUGGGGCGACAAUGGAAUUUUAUUAACUUCCAUUUUUAAAUUUUCAUUAAUUAAUGUAUUUUUUGAUCCUAAUUUUUGGAUUAUAAGUUUAAAUUACCUUAGGGAUAACAGCGUAAUUUCUUUGGAGAGUUCUUAUCGAUAAAUGGAGUUUGCGACCUCGAUGUUGGAUUAAAGAAAGUUCUUGGUGUAGUAGCUUGUGAUACU
rnacentral:rRNA from 1 species